rnacentral:lncRNA from 1 species
AUAAAAUAUAUCUUUAGAAAUUAUUUUUAAAAGGUAGAUGAUACUUAAGGAAUGGUUACACUUGAGGUUGUACUCUAGUCUCCUCACAACAUGCAUGCACACAUGCAGCCUUACAUAUGAACAACUGCAUGUACAUGUACAACCUCAUACGUAUGGAAUAUCUGUGUGCAUACAUGCAACCUUACACAUAUAAACGUGUGUGUAUAUGUGCGACCUCACACAAAUGAAUGUGUGCAUGUAUGUGCAUAGCUUCAUAUAUAUGAACAUGUAUGUAUACACACAUGGCCUUGCACAUAUGAACAUGUGUGUGCCUACAUGGUAGCUUCUACAUAUGAAUGCAUGUGCCUACAUGCAGCUUUAUACAUGCAUGUAUGCAUGCACACGUGCAGCCUCACACAUAUGAAUAUGUGUAUGCACACACAUUAGAACUAGCAUCUUCCCAGGUAAUACUUCUUUAUGUUUUAUGUUUUAUCUUUUAAGAAUAACCCUCUUACCUUUUUUUUUUCUUACCAUAUUUAACUUUUGAAAGCUAUAGGCCUUUUGGUUUGGUACAGAUCUCCUGUUAAAUUUACUGACUUGUUUUCUCCUGGUAAAAUUUAACUUGCUCCUCAACCCCUGAUUUUGUCUUAAACUGGUUAGUCCUAGUUGUCAGUACCUGGCUGCUGAGGCUGUGGGUGGACAAGCUGCACAAGGUCCUGGGCGUUUGGGUGGCCAAUGUUGCUGUGCACCAGGACUGUGCCCAAACUUAUUGAACUCUUCCUUCCUUCCUUCCUUCCUUCCUUCCUUCCUUCCUUCCUUCCUUCCUUCCUUCCUUCCUUCUUUCCUUUUCUGAGACAGAUUAUGCUAUGUAGCCCAGGCUAGGCUGCAGCACCUGCUCCUUCUGCCUCAGCCCCAUACAGUCUUAGAUUACAGCAUGUGCUCCCAGGCCUUGAUCUUUGAACUUCCUUGAUGUACAACUUGAAAACAUGACAGAGAUUUAAUAAGAUCACCUGCUCUAUGCCAGCCCUUUGAGGAACUUCUUGGAAAAAUAUCACUUACUUGUGUGAGUGUGUGUGUGUGUGUGUGUGUGUGUGUGUGUGUGUGAGAGAGAGAGAGAGAGAGAGAGAGAGAGAGAGAUGCAUGGGGGUACACAUGCCAUUGCAUGCAUGUGGAUGUCAGGGGACAACUUUGUGGAGUCAGUUUUCUCCUUUUGCCUUUUUGUAGAUUCCAGGGAUUGAACUUAGGUCACCAGGCUUGCACGGCAAGCACCUCUACUUGCUAAGCCAUCUCGCUGGCCCCCUUGGCAGAGUAUCUUAUCUGGACCCACAAAAAAACAUUUUGAGGAAAGGGUAUUUACUUUAUAGCUGAAAAGCUGAGGUUCAGAGGUAUCAAGGUGGGAAAAGAAAUUAAAUUUUUUUUUGUUUAUUUUUUGAGAUAGGGACUCACUACAUAACCCUGGCUGUCCUGGUACUUUCUGGAUAGAUCAGGCUGUCCUCAAACCCACAGAGACCUGCCCACUUCCAUCUCCUACGUGCUGGCUGUAUGAGCCCUCUACCACUCAGUUACAUCUUGGCUCCUCGUAACCUUCCCCCGAGACCCUUUCCUCCCCAGAUUUUACAUGUGCAUUCCCUUCCGGUGCCCCUCACCUUUGCACCCAGUACCUUUUGCUUCUUUGAGGUUGUUUAGCCUGGAUGCCUCAGCACCCCACGUUAAUUUAUUCCCAGAUGCCCAGCUCCAGUGCGAUCUUGCAGAAUCUGCUCCCAGCUCAUCUCCAUCCAAACGUAGCCUCACUGGCUUCAGGUCCUGUGCUUGCACCACCGUCUCAGUAUUCGGUCCUGUGUGCUGCACAAGCUUUGCUUGUAGCUGGUAGAGCAAGCUCGCAGGAGUCAAGGGCUCAAACCCCAGGCCCUUCAUACCCCUCUGUGACCUUGCGUGUAUCAAUUCACCUGAAACGUCAUUUCCUUCAUUUCUAAGGGAGAGACGGUUGGGAAGGUCAAGAUGUCAUGAUGCUUCCGAAUCCAAUGGUGCCACUGUAGAGCCCUCGGCAGGGCGAAAGGGAGCCCCUGGCAGACUCUGAGGCCCUGCUAGUUGGAUUUCCUUCCCAGACCCCAUGUGCAACCUGACACAGAACAGCUGUGGAUGUCCUCAGGGUCAUUUCCCCCAAAUACCAAACGGGUCCCUGCAGAUGCCACAGACCUGGGGCUUGCCUGCGUUUUUUGGCAUUUCUUCAUCACCCCCUCGGUGUGGGGCAAGACUUGGCUGGGCCCACAGCCAGCAAUAAAGCGGAUGCUAAUCAUAUCAUUAUAUGCUGAAUAAUUAACUGUCAUUUAAAUAUUCAUAUGUUGUUGGGGGCAAGGCCUUUUAUCAGUAUCUGGGGACAUGUCAGCAGAGGAAAGAGAUGGAUGUCGCCAAGGCUGACUCCGCCUGUGAAGGGCGACCUGGGGUCCAGGGAGAGCCAUUGCAGUGGUCACCAGACAGUCAGCUAAUAUAUAACUGCAAUAUUCUCACGUGAUAAACGGCAACUUCAUAAACGCUUGAUGCAUAUGAGCAACCCUAAAACAAUAUUGGAAGCAUUAAUUUCAUUUGACUAAUGCUUAUCUAUAUUUUAUUCUGUUGCCAUCUCUAAAGAAGCCCCUCUUUCCUUCAGGGGAAGGGCGGUAGGGCUGGAGGGCCACUGAUGGACGACAGCAGCCAAGGGGGGCACUUUCCGUUAGCCCUGCCUUUAAGAUGACGAGAUUUGGGACUGGCUCUGAGCUUUGAAGACCUGUCUGAGAGUCUGUGUGAAAUCCUGCCUGAGUCCCUGUCGGGGAACUCAGCCUCUCUGGUGGCAUUACAGGAGAGUGGCAUGGGUAUCUCAGGCUUGGCCAGGUAAAGCAAAGUUGUAUAGGUGCCCUCUUGCUGUCAUGGAGGAAUCAAGAGGGGAGGCCUUGAAGACAGAAGUAUAGUCAGGUGGGGAGUAUUAUGAAGUGACUCUUCUAUAGUGGGGUGUGGGUGGUUGUGGUGGUUUGAAUAUGCUUGGCCCAGGGAAUGGGACUAUUAGGAGGUGUGACCUUGUUGGAGGAAGUCACUGUAGGAGUGGUCUUUUAGACCCUCCUUCCAACUAUGUGGGAGUCAGUCUUCUCUUGGUUGCCAUUGGAACAAGAGGUAGACCUCUCAGCAUCUCCAGCGCUAUGCCUGCCUGGAUGCUGCCAUGCUUCCUGCCAUGAUGAUAACGGAUUGAACCUCUGAACCUGUAAGCCAGCACCAAUUGAAUGUUGUCCUUGUAAGAGUUGCCUUAAUCAUGGUUUCUGUUCACAGCAGUAAAACCCUAACUAAGACAAAUAGGAAGGGACCCGGAGGAGAGAAAGGGAACAGAGGGAGGGUGUGAAGGAACACGAAAGCCAAGAGGGAGAGAACGGCACCUGGAGGUCUGGUGAUGGGUGAGCUGGCUGUUCUGGAGGAGCGAAGCAGCUUGGUGGGGGGGGGGGUUAGUAACAAUGGUUCUAGAAUUGGAUAGCCAUGGGCUGGGCUCUAGCUGUGCCAUUAACUAGCUGUAGGACUCCUGGAUCCUCUUUUUUUAACCCUCAGUUUCCACUUGUGUAAUAGGAGCCACUGUGCUUCAGGGGUGGGCUGAUGACUUAUCGGGUUGCUCUUCUGGGGUCUCACAGAGCUCCAUCAAAUGUCAUCGAUUGGGAGGCUCAAAUUGUGGGUGGUGGUAGAGGUGAUGUCGGUGGCAAUGUCAGUGGUGAUGGUGGUAAAGUUGGGAGGCGAUGGCAGUGGGAAUGGUAGUGGUGACAUUGUUGAUGGCAGUGGUGAUGGUUGUGGUGAUGUUGGAGGCGAUGGUGAUGGUGGUGGCGGUGGCGAUGGUGGUGGCCGUGGUGGUGGUGGUGGGUGUCUGCUUUCAAGAACUCUCUGCAGUUUGCUGACUUUUGUUUCCUUUCAGGAUCUGACGCUGGCUGGUUGUCUGCCAAGGAGACCCUCAAUUCUGAGUGGCCCAUGGUCACUGGCCCUGGGAAUUUCUUCAGCAUGGCUGCUGACUACAUCAAGCAAGAACCUGUUCCUAAGACAGAGCUUAUAUGAUACAUAGUGAUCAUGAAGUAUGGAGGGACACUGUCACCUUUCCAGGUUUACUAAUGAGUGACAGGUUCUGCUAACAUAUAUGGGAGGGGAUAGUACAGGGGUAUGAAUACCAGGGGCCUGGGUUGCUGAGUGACCCUCAAGCCUUUACAUCAUAUCUGACAAGGUUAGCAGUGAGUGCUCUCAGUACCAGGUACUCACGGUCCCUGCGUUUUGUGAACUUUCUCACCUGACCCACAGAAUAACCCAAGAAGAGCAGUAACUGCCCUCACUGUACCAAUGGAGGAAUGUGAGGUCAAGGAUCCUGGUAGGGGUUCAACAGGGGAAGGCAGGAGCACUGUGGAAUUGGUCAUAGACACCAUGUGAUCCAACACCCAGGGUUGCCAGUGAAGACAAACCUCAGAAGACUCUCAGGACAUGCCCUGGCCCUGUUCCACUUUGCCAGGACACGUGACAACACUGGGUCAUGCAGGUGACUCCAGGACAAGCUCUCUGUGGUAAAGCCAACAGGUUAGCAACUCACUUCACCCACAGCCUUAAUUCCCCAUGGGCCAAGUGACAUAGCAGGUUCUCGGUGUCCAAGAUAAGGACUCUAGUAUCAUCUGCCUAGUGUCUCCUGUCAGUUAGUUCUUCUGUCUGUCGUGCUACCAGGGGCUUAUGGGUUGGAUGCUACGGCUCCUGUCCCAGGCCACCCUUUACUUCCCCAUUAGCCAUCCUUAGCUCUCUCCAGAGCCUGGAGCUCACACUAGAGAGCCAAGCAAAAUGUAAAUUUAUUCUCCGGAUAUGAAAUAAUGAGAAAGGGUAAUACGUGGAAAAGAAAGAAAAAGGAAGGAGAGGGAAGAAAAAGAUAAGGGAGAGAAGAUGCAAGUUACAUUUAUACAUUUUAAAGCUCUGUGCUGGCCCAUAGGCUGUCAGUUUGUUCCUAUUAGACCAAGCUCCCGGACAUGAGCUGAAGUUGAAGCUACAGAGAUAUCAGUCAACACGUUAGCAUUGGGCCAUCAGUGUCAUGUCCCUGAGCAUGCCGAACAGGUCCUCUCCAGGAUGGAGUGUCUAGAACUGGAGCCUGUAUCCUAUGGCCCUUAGCAGUAUGUCUUGUACAAUACAAAAGUGACACACAUUCUACGGCCCUGUCCUGCUGUCUCACACAGCCUGCGACACAAAGCACAAAUCCAGGGAGCGUUGCUUGUUGAAUGUGUAAUUGAAUGAAACCCAGGGCCUUUCAUUCACUCCGCGUCCUGCUCAGGGAUCUGUGACCUCCUUCAGAGCGCUUGGCUCUUCAUAACGGGCUCCGGCCACAGGCACAGUGGAUGAGGUAUGCAUGAGUGUGAGCAUCAAUUACGGGCUUCACUGACCUGGAACCCAAAAUGAGAGCCUGUGCAGGAAGUGACCAUGGCCUGGGCUGGAAAGGCCAGGUCAGGGAGAUGAACCAUGGGACUUCUGGCCUGCCCUUGCAGCUGCCCCGGCUGCUUCCUUCCCAUUCUCUCCCCCCAACCCCCAGCCCCAUGCAUUCGAGAUUCCCGGGAGGUCGAGCCUGGUGUAAUUACAGGGUAUCUGCUACCUCCCUAUAAAUCUAAUAGACUUUUUGGCCUUGUCAGAUUAAAACUUACCUAUCAACCCGCCGCAGUCCUCUAGAUCUCCCUAAAUCUGUACUUGGGAGAGAAUUUAUG